rnacentral:rRNA from 1 species
UACGUAGGGGGCAAGCGUUGUCCGGAAUUCUUGGGCGUAAAGAGCUCAUAGGCGGUUUGUUGCGUCGGCUGUGAAAUCCCGAGGCUCAACCUCGGGUCUGCAGUCGAUACGAGCAAACUAGAGUGUUGCAGGGGAGACUGGAAUUCCUGGUGUGGCGGUGAAAUGCGCAGAUAUCAGGAGGAACACCGGUGGCGAAGGCGGGUCUCUGGGCAACAACUGACGCUGAGGAGCGAAAGCGUGGGGAGCGAACAGG